rnacentral:rRNA from 1 species
AUUGAACGCUGGCGGCAUGCUUUACACAUGCAAGUCGAACGGUAACAGACCGCAAGGUGCUGACGAGUGGCGAACGGGUGGGUAAUGCAUUGGAACGUGCCCAGCAGUGGGGGAUAGCCCGGCGAAAGCCGGAUUAAUACCGCAUACGACCUGAGGGUGAAAGGGGGGGAUCGCAAGACCUCUCGCUAUUGGAGCGGCCGAUGUCAGAUUAGCUAGUUGGUGGGGUAAAGGCCUACCAAGGCAACGAUCUGUAGUUGGUCUGAGAGGACGACCAGCCACACUGGGACUGAGAAACGGCCCAGACUCCUACGGGAGGAAGAAGUGGGGAAUGUUGGACAAUGGGCGCAAGCCUGAUCCAGCAAUGCCGCGUGCAGGAAGAAGGCCUGCGGGUUGUAAACUGCUGUUGUACGGAACGAAACGGCUCUGGUUAAUACCUGGGGCUAAUGACGGUACCGUAAGAAUAAGCACCGGCUAACUACGUGCCAGCAGCCGCCGUAAGAC